UCGGUCCUUAGGCUGUCGAGGCGGAUUGUUGGACUUCUUCCGACAAAACCGAGUUGGAUGUCCCGAAGCUCGAGAUGAGAAUUCAUCGAGCUGCCGGUAUAAACCGGGCUAUAACUCGCUGUCGAGUAGUGCAUGCGAGACAGACGAGGUCAGGGCAAGGCCAGGCAAUGAUUGGCCCGGCCAGGUACCUCGGUGCUGGUCAAGGUUUUAUUCAGGUACUUAUUUAAUCAGAAAUGGAGUAAAUGAAAUAAUGUAAGACAUUAAUCGAAAGGGUACCUGGUACCAUGAGCAUCUUAUGCCGAGGUUAUAAACUUUGCUCGGC
rnacentral:lncRNA from 1 species